UGAGUCUUCGGACAAAUGAAAUAUAAACUUAGUGGCGGACGGGUGAGUAACGUGUGGGUAACCUACCCUAUACAGGAGGAUAACAGUAAGAAAUUAUUGCUAAAACUGCAUAAGAUUACGAGUUCGCAUGAACAAGUGAUAAAAACUUUAGGUGGUAUAGGAUGGGCCCGCAUCUGAUUAGGUAGUUGGUGGAGUAAAAGCCUACCAAGCCGACGAUCAGUAGCCGAUCUGAGAGGAUGACCGGCCACAUUGGGACUGAGACACGGCCCAAACUCCUACGGGAGGCAGCAGUGGGGAAUAUUGGACAAUGGGGGAAACCCUGAUCCAGCGACGCCGCGUGAGUGAAGAAGUAUUUCGGUAUGUAAAGCUCUAUCAGCAGGGAAGAAAAUGACGGUACCUGACUAAGAAGCCCCGGCUAACUACGUGCCAGCAGCCGCGGUAAUACGUAGGGGGCAAGCGUUAUCCGGAUUUACUGGGUGUAAAGGGAGCGUAGACGGCGAUGUAAGUCUGAAGUGAAAGCCCACGGCUCAACUGUGGGACUGCUUUGGAAACUAUGUAGCUAGAGUAUCGGAGGGGCAAGCGGAGUUCCUAGUGUAGCGGUGAAAUGCGUAGAUAUUAGGAGGAACACCGGAGGCGAAGGCGGCUUGCUGGACGAAGACUGACGUUGAGGCUCGAAGGCGUGGGGAGCAAACAGGAUUAGAUACCCUGGUAGUCCACGCAGUAAACGAUGAAUACUAGAUGUCGGAGAG
rnacentral:rRNA from 1 species